rnacentral:rRNA from 1 species
CCUACGGGUGGCAGCAGGGGGGAAUAGUGCACAAUGGGGGAAACCCUGAUGCAGCGACGCCGCGGGAGUGAAGAAGGAAUUCGGUAUGUAAAGCUCUAUCAGCAGGGAAGAAAAUGACGGUACCUGAGUAAGAAGCCCCGGCUAACGACGUGCCAGCAGCCUCGGUAAUACGGAGGGGGCAAGCGUUAUCCGGAUUUACUGGGUGUAAAGGGAGCGUAGACGGCAGUGCAAGUCUGGAGGGAAAGGCGGGGGCUCAACCCCCGGACUGCUCUGGAAACUGUACGGCUGGAGUGCCGGAGAGGUCAGUGGCAUUCCUCGUGUAGCGGUUCACUGCGUCGCUAUUAGGAGGACCCCCAGUGGC